UGGGGAAUUUUGGACAAUGGGGGCAACCCUGAUCCAGCCAUUCCGCGUGAGUGAAGAAGGCCUUCGGGUUGUAAAGCUCUUUCAGCUGGAACGAAACGGUGCGCUCUAACAUAGCGUGCUAAUGACGGUACCAGCAGAAGAAGCACCGGCUAACUACGUGCCAGCAGCCGCGGUAAUACGUAGGGUGCGAGCGUUAAUCGGAAUUACUGGGCGUAAAGCGUGCGCAGGCGGAUUGUUAAGCAAGAUGUGAAAUCCCCGGGCUUAACCUGGGAAUGGCAUUUUGAACUGGCAGUCUAGAGUGCGUCAGAGGGGGGUGGAAUUCCACGUGUAGCAGUGAAAUGCGUAGAGAUGUGGAGGAACACCAAUGGCGAAGGCAGCCCCCUGGGAUGACACUGACGCUCAUGUACGAAAGCGUGGGUAGCAAACA
rnacentral:rRNA from 1 species